GAACGCAUGAGGUCCCGGUCACUAUAUCUUCCCUGACGAGAAGGUUACAUCUUCCCGUGUCGUAUUCGCGCCUAUAUAUCUCAUAAUCUCAUUACACCGCGUGCACACACAUUGUUCGCGCUCACGUAUACGUCAGAAAGUUUGUUGGUGCGCAGAAGUUACAUCGUUUCUGCGAGUGGGGUAGGGAGAGAAAGAGUGAGAGAGAAAGAGAUGAACGCACGGAAGAAACAGAAGAGAACUAGAGCGAGAGAGAGAGAGAGAAAGAGUGAAUUCAGGUAACAAACGUACCUGAGAUGUCACACCACUAAAGAGAUCUAUCUCUAAAUGGUCACUCUGGUCACGAAACGUCGUCGGUGAGCCACUUGUGAUUUACCGCGCUUUCCUUCAUCAACGUUAAACUAAAACCAGUUGUUCCUUCGCCGAGGUUCACCGAGGUUCUGCCUCGACUUGACUCGGUUAUGCGCGAGCGCGCGUUCACAUAGUUAACACCACGUCCUACACAGAAUGUGGGGGAGACGCGGUUCACGCAGUUACGAUAUACCGGUUACAUACGUAUAUACAUAUUUAUUUACAUGGAGAGACCGCGUAAACAAAUCGACGCGCGCGAUCUAUACGCGCGGCAGGAAUCGGCGAUACGAUACUCGCCACUACUCGCGCAAAAUGGCUGACGCCGAAGAAUAAUUGCUACUCUCGGCCGAGAAUUGAAAACACGACUCGCCAAUCGAUACGCGGCUAAAGCGCGCGCCGCAUUGGCCGCUUUCGUAUCGGCGCGCGAUUUCCCGCCACCGAUUGGUCGGUCCGGCGACGCGGCGACGUCUAUCAUGACACCGAGCUGUGGCGAGUUCCGAAAGCACUCCGGAAAAGUGCUCGUAGAACACUUGGAACACUUCAAUGUCUCCAAUUCCCAUUUCCCUCGCCGACCGAACUCUGCGAACGACCGAGUUUUCAACCUUUCAACUGUGAAUCAUUAAUCGAUCGCUCAUCCCGACUUAUCUUAAGAUUCGAGAGGGAACACAAAGGAACGGAGAUAAAGGAACUUCAAGUUCGUCCGAGAUUUUCAUUAUUAAAAACGUAGAAUGAAUAUUAGGAGGAUUCAUCUCCAGAUAAGAAGCAGAAGCAAAGUUAAAAACAGCAAAAAAUUUAAAUUCCUGAAAAUCGUGAUACAAUCGGAUUAUUCAUUUUCGCAAUCUGCGAAUAAAUAAGCAAUACUCGGAGUUUUAUCGAGCAGACGGAAAAUUUUUAUACAACAUCCGAUUACAUCAAAUCUGCACAAGUUUAUUAAAUAUAAACAGGCACGCAGGUAGUUAAAGUCUCGCUUUAUAGCGAGAGGUUUUAUAACGAUUUGCAAUUUUCCUAUUUAGUUUUCUCGCAAGUAACGCGUUUGUAUACUGCGGCAAGCUUUAU